UCAGGAUGAACGCUGGCGGCGUGCCUAACACAUGCAAGUCGAGCGAGAUAUCCAUGACGAAUUCUUCGGAUGCCUGAAUGGAUGGAAAGCGGCGGACGGGUGAGUAACGCGUAGGUAACCUGCCCUGUACAAGGGGAUAGCCACUGGAAACGGUGAUUAAUACCUUAUGACACCGCAGCAUCACAUGGUGAAGCGGUCAAAGAUUUUUAUCGGUACAGGAUGGACCUGCGUCUGAUUAGUUAGUUGGCGGGGUAACGGCCCACCAAGGCGACGAUCAGUAGCCGACCUGAGAGGGUGAUCGGCCACAUUGGAACUGAGACACGGUCCAAACUCCUACGGGAGGCAGCAGUGGGGAAUAUUGCACAAUGGGCGCAAGCCUGAAUGCAGCAACGCCGCGUGAACGAAGAAGGCCUUUGGGUCGUAAAGUUCUGUUCUGAGGGAAGAAGAAAGUGACGGUACCUCAGGAGAAAGCCCCGGCUAACUACGUGCCAGCAGCAGC
rnacentral:rRNA from 1 species